CUGAGGCUGUUGAGGAUUAAGCAUUAAUUUUAUCAGUUUGAUUCACAGCGGUGUUAGAA
ensembl:miRNA